UACGUAGGGUGCGAGCGUUUAAUCGGAAUUACUGGGCGUAAAGUGUGCGCAGGCGGCCGCGCAAGUCGAGUGUGAAAGCCCCGGGCUUAACUUGGGAAUUGCGCUCGAAACUACGUGGCUGGAGUGUGGCAGAGGAAGGUGGAAUUCCAGGUGUAGCGGUGAAAUGCGUAGAGAUCUGGAGGAACACCGAUGGCGAAGGCAGCCUUCUGGGCCAACACUGACGCUCAUGCACGAAAGCGUGGGGAGCAAACAGG
rnacentral:rRNA from 1 species